rnacentral:rRNA from 1 species
GACGAACGCUGGCGGCGUGCCUAAUACAUGCAAGUCGAGCGCUGAAGGGUGGUGCUUGUACCAAUUGGAUGAGCAGCGAACGGGUGAGUAACGCGUGGGGAACCUGCCUAUGAGCGGGGGACAACAUCGGGAAACGAAUGCUAAUACCGCAUAAAAACUUUAAACACAAGUUUCAAGAGUGAAAGAUGCAAUUACAACACCUAAAGAUGAUACCGCGUCGGUUUAGCUAGUUGGUGAGGUAAAGGCUCUCCAAGGCGAAGAUACAGAGCCGACCUGAGGGGGUGGUCGGCCACAAUUGGAACGGGGCCCCGCCCAAACUCCUACGGGAGGCAGCAGUAGGGGAUCUUUGGCCAUAGAGGGAAGUCUGGCCGGAGAAAGCCGCGUGAGUGGAGGAGGUUUUCGGGUCGUUAAACUCUGUUGGUAAGGAAGAACGUUAGUGAGAGUGAAAAGCUCAUCAAGUGACGGUAACUACCCAGAAAGGGACGGCUAACUACGUG